ensembl:lncRNA
UGGAGUUUAAAUACUUUAAUCCACACACUUUCAUCUACAGAGAAAUACAGUACAAAUAACAAGACAACAAAAAGAUGCAUUAGGAAAUUCAGUAACAGAGUCAGUGCUGUGAAAAAUCUGCAUUUACAAAAUUCUAUGAAGAAUAUGGAGCAGAUGUUACUCAGAAGAGCAUUGGGGAGCUGAAGUCACAGAGACAGGCCAUGAUACAACUGAGACUGAAGACAAGUUUUCUUCAGUUUCGCUUGUUUAAGUGUGGAGUACCAGCACAGAACCAGGAGUUCUGUGAUUUCACUGGAUUUGCAGCUUCUUACAGACAGAACCUGGCCCAAGUACUCAAAUAAUACACGUCACCCACAUGUAAUGAUUUGAGCGAACAUCACAAUUACAGGGGGCAAUGGUAUCAUCAACAACUUCAGAAAUACUGGAUGAAGCCAGUGAGGGUCCAAACAGGGCAGAGGCUUUUAUGAGACGUUCCGCAACCACGCUUCCUGUGCCUAGGCAGCAAAUACAGAACACGCUGCCCAGCUUUUAUGACUAAGAGUUUUACAGUGAUACCUCCUUAUCCUCUCAUUGCAGCCUGCUGCCUUUUAAAAAAACAAUGGGAAACAAUUUGGGAUUUGAAAGCAUCACGUGAUGUCAAGAAAAAAAUUGGCAAAUGUUGACUUUAAACAUUUAUAUUGAAGCUUCAAUAUGAUGUUGAAUGGUUAUUUCUUUGCAAAAGAUCUCACACUUCACAGCUGUGAGCAGCCAGGUUUGCUCUGAGAUUCUGUUUUCUGGGAAGCGAGGUGGGAAUGGUACAGACAACUUCAGCUCAUGUUUGAGCACUAAAUAACACCUACCUCAAACUGGACCAUAAAGAAAUAGCUGUUCUGUCAGGAGCACACUGAUCGCUCCCUCCUUACUGUUUUGUGCGAAAACCAAAUAAAUACUGAAUCUCAAAUGCCACCUAUAUCAGUUAAAAACAACCCUAAGGUGUUACAAAUUCUACUUUUUGAUCUAUUACUUUCAUUUUAAGCUCAUUUUUGUCCCCAUUUAGUGCAACUUCAGAAUAUAUGCAUAAACACAUUCAAUACAAAACACAAGUUACAGCAUCACAGUAGUUCCAAGCUAAAGAAUAACUUUUUUUUCCAACUCUUAACAUGCUGGUAUUUUCUUGCAAGUAGUAAUUACUAAUUUAAAGUUACAGCUCUUAAAAGUAACAUUUUUACAGUAUUCUGACCACUAAUUACUAAAUAGAAGUAACUACUAUACAUAUUGAAGUUACAAGCUAUAAAAAUAAAAAUCCAUUCUGUUUAACUAUAAAAAUCCCAGAAAGAGAAGAUGGCUGGAGGUACUUACUCUAAGGAUUACAACAGUUGGUAGCAAACAAAAUGGCUUUGGAGGGAUGUAAACUUUGGAUACAGGAUGCGAUAAGCUCACAAUGUAAGUUCCCACCUACUCUUCAAAAGAAAACUAUUUUCACGCUGCAAUCUACAAACAAGUUGCAAAUGAAACAAUGCAAAAAGUGAAUUACAUCAAUAAGGGUGCACAGCACAGUAAACAGGGCAGGAGUAACACGAAACAAAGCAAAAUUUUGGUUACAUUCAUACAUUUCAAUAGUUAAGGGCUGGAUCCUCAGCUAAUGUAAGUCUGUGUAACGUCACUAGGGUUAGUCAAGGCAUGUGGCUUUACUCCAGCUAGAAGUCUCUCCCUGAGAUGCCCAAAACCUGAACUGUGUAUGCAGCACUCUUAGUGAGAUAAAGAAACUGUGAUCAUGCUGGGCUUUUAGAACUGUGGCCUAAACUAAGUUGAAAUACAGAAUGUGUGAAUUCUCUCAAUAUACUAAAUGAACAAGUGGUCUCUGUUGUCUCAUUCCUAUGUUCAAGAAGCAGCUAUAAUUUACAAGAAAAAGUCAGAGCAUUUUAAAAUAAGUGGUUCACAUUCAACAGGAUGAGUUAAGUACUAGUAUUUUUAAAUCAGAAGAUAUCCUACUUUACUCCUAACUGAAGAGUCAAAUAAUCAUUUCUUUUCCAAAAAGAAGAAAACUGCUAGUAGUCAGUAUGGAAUACAGAACAAAAAAGGAUUUUCAGUUAGAAGACAUGCAAAGAUUCCUAAGUGUCCUACUUACCCACAGAAUAACUAGAUUACAGUGGUACUCUACCAAAAAGCAUUUGUUGCUAAGUUGAAAAGACUAACUACUACAACAAUGAUAUCAUUAUGCUGUUCACAGCUAAGGUACAGUGCUUGAAGUUUGUUAUUUUUGUUUUUUGGUUUUUAAACCAGUGAGAUACAAUAACACACACUAUAAAAGCUGCGAGCUUCAGUGCAACAUAAUACAGAACCAGAAGGAACCGGCCAAACUGAAACCAGAACCUUUAACUAUCAGUCCUCAGAACCUGUGGAGAAUGGGGAGGUUCCUCCCCAGCAGCCAAGAGCAAAAACUGGACAUUCAGAAUAGGUCAGGGGGACUGGGAGCCUUCAGAGACCUUUCUGAUAUCAGGUGUGGUGAUGGUGACUGAAAAAGCCAAACAAGUGGGUUGCUGGGCUAAGAAUAAGCUGUGUGAAGCCAUUCCAAUGUUCCUUUCUGAUAAGCUAGCUGGCAUGAGGGAUAAAACGGACAGAAGAGAAGCUCACUAUCCUGAUCUAAUCAGGGCUUUUGAUACUGUCUCAAAUGACAUUUUUAGCUGAAAGUGAGGCAGCAUAAAAUGAGUAAUUCAAUGACUGAGGGAAAGACGUACUUACUGAGUAGCUGUAAACACUAGCAAGACAAAAUGUACAGGGGUACAAACUCUCAAUCUGAAUUAGCUGAAGUUAUACAGAAGAAACUUUCAACUUACUUUUGCUAUAAGCAUUGCCUCAACAGGGUGUUUUUCUCCAAGGGUGUUCAAACAUGGUAGCAUUUUCUUUUGCAACCAGAAGAAACUCAAGUCUGUUUUCUGAGAGCAAGUACUUAAAGCUUCAAACCAAAGUAAAUGGUGUUUCAAGUUAGUGCUUAAGAAAAGCAAGACCUGGAAUAAAAAACCCUAUGAAGGGGCAACAUUAAAAAUGAACAUACAAAAAGAGUAUCAAAUGCAUAAAUUAUGCUAUACAGUUCUUACAUUAUGAACAUGAAAUGGAAUUCAUAACAGCUGAGAAAAAUGUUCAAGUUUGAACAAAUUCCACAUUAAUUUGAAACAGAAAUAUUGCCAUUGCAGUAGAAAACACAAGACUAUGUUCUUUAAUAACUGCAAUAAUUCCAAAGCGCUGUUAAAAGCAUGCUCUAAACACCACUCUAGCCUGCUUCAAACACCAGAACAAUAGACAUACAUAGAAAAAAAAUUACCUAAGUGAAUGCCAUUCAUCUUCUCAGCUGUUUCUGAAGAUGAAGAAUGCAAGUUUGGACUUCAGACACCUUUCUAAAAAGUCCAGAUAUGGAGAAAGAUCCAAAAUGCAGGUGGCAUUUGAAACAGUUUAACCCUGCUAUGAGCUGCUGAAUUGAAAACACAAAGUAAAACAAAGCCUACAACAAGAAGCUCUGUGCACAGUUAAGCUAGUGUAUGCAGCAAUAAAUAAAGCUUAAAACUUUGUGAAUUCACUUUUGAGUGCUUGACAAUUGAUGUUGUUAUUCACCUGUGCAGUUUACCUGUGCAGAAGUAUAACUGAGUGAAAACUGCCAGAAGAAACUAUUCAUGACGUGUCUUUCUGAAACAUUGCUUUUGGUAUUUUUUCAAAGUUAAGCAUCAACAGCGUCAGGAAAAAUCCCUCAGUGCAAAGCAUGAGACCCAGCUGCAGAGUACCCUCUUCUGGACAGAGAACGUACUGCAGUGUUUUCAGGUUUCCAAGCUGUUUCCACAAGAGCUACAGAGUAGCUCAGUGUACUGGUGCUUUUUGCACCUACCACAUUAAAAACGCAUGUAACAGUGUUACAGUCACAGCAUGACAACAUCCAGCAGCUACAGCUAUAUACAAAUUAGAAUAGUUCGUUUACGCCGGCAUUAGAAUCUGGGAGCCCAUUGCUGACAUUUACUGCCUGCAGUUGGACUUCAAAACAGUGCCAUAAAACUAACUCAAAACAGGCUUUAACCCAAUUUGCAACAUCCUGGAAAGGAGGAUACAUAGAAAUCCAAGGACAGCAUGUUGGAAACAGUAAGAAUUCCCAACAGAUUCUAGUGCUAACACAGUAUGUUUAAAAAUAACUUUUUUUGGGCAUGCAUGACAGCUACAGAUAGUUACAAUAGAUGGAUGACCCCAUGUGAGAUUGGGAACUGGACACUUCAACCUUACAGAAUAUUCUCCAUACCACAAAUACAAUUUACAAAAGGCUUCCCCAUGCUUACAAUGGCUACAUUUGCUACCUGUCCUUUGCUGCAAUCACUAACAGUUAGUGAAACAAGCCUCUUCCACAUGCACGGGGAUGAUCUGUCCCAUACAACAGGACC